rnacentral:rRNA from 1 species
GAUGAACGCUAGCGGCAGGCUUAAUACAUGCAAGUCAAGGGGUAGCAAUACACCGGCGUACGGGUGCGUAACACGUACGGAACCUACCCGUCAUUGGGGGAUAGCUCGGGGAAACUCGAAUUAAUACCGCAUAAGAUAGUAGAAUGGCAUCAUUCAGCUAUUAAAGAUUUAUUGAUGACGGAUGGGCAUGCGUUAGAUUAGGUAGUUGGUAUGGUAACGGCUUACCAAGCCUACGAUCUAUAGGGGCUCUGAGAGGAGAAUCCCCCACACUGGCACUGAGAUCCGGGCCAGACUCCUACGGGAGGCAGCAGUAGGGAAUACUGGGCAAUGGGCGAAAGCCUGACCCAGCCAUGCCGCGUGCAGGACGAAGGCCCUCUGGGUUGUAAACUGCUUUUUUGAGGGAAGAAAAGACUCGUUGCGACGAGAGUUGACGGUACCUUAAGAAUAAGCCACGGCUAACUACGUGCCAGCCGCCGCAGUAAUAC